ensembl:snRNA U6 U6 spliceosomal RNA
GUGCUCGCUUUGGCAGCACAUAUACUACAAUUGGAACGAUACAGAGAAGAUUAGCAUGGCCCCUGCGCAAUGAUACAGAAGACAUGAUACUCUACAAAGAAAA